rnacentral:rRNA from 1 species
CAGCAGCCGCGGUAAUUCCAGCUCCAAUAGCGUAUAUUAAAAUUGUUGCCGUUAAAAAGCUCGUAGUCGAACUUCGGGCUCUGUCAGCCGGUCCGCCUUCUUGGUGUGUACUUGUUUGACGGAGCCUUACCUCCUGGUGAACGGCGAUGUCCUUUACUGGGUGUCGUCGCAAACCAGGACUUUUACUUUGAAAAAAUUAGAGUGUUCAAAGCAGGCCUUUGCCCGAAUACAUUAGCAUGGAAUAAUAAAAUAGGACGCGCGUUCCCAUUUUGUUGGUUUCUGAGAUCGCCGUAAUGAUUAAUAGGGAUAGUUGGGGGCAUUUGUAUUCCGUCGUCAGAGGUGAAAUUCUUGGAUUGCCGGAAGACAAACUACUGCGAAAGCAUUUGCCAAGGAUGUUUUCAUUGAUCAAGAACGAAGGAAGGGGGAUCGAAAACGAUUAGAUACCGUUGUAGUCUCUUCUGUAAACUAUGCCAAUUGGGGAUCGGUACAGGAUUUUUAAUGACUGUAUCGGCACCCGAAGAGAAAUCUUUAAAUGAGGUUCGGGGGGGAGUAUGGUCGCAAGGCUGAAACUUAAAGGAAUUGACGGAAGGGCACCACCAGGUGUGGAGCCUGCGGCUUAAUUUGACUCAACACGGGGAAACUCACCAGGUCCAGACACAAUAAGGAUUGACAGAUUGAUAGCUCUUUCUUGAUCUUGUGGUUGGUGGUGCAUGGCCGUUCUUAGUUGGUGGAGUGAUUUGUCUGGUUAAUUCCGAUAACGAACGAG